rnacentral:rRNA from 1 species
UACAGAGGUCUCAAGCGUUGUUCGGAUUCAUUGGGCGUAAAGGGUGCGUAGGUGGCGCUGUAAGUCGGGUGUGAAAUUUCGGAGCUUAACUCCGAAACUGCAUUCGAUACUGCGGUGCUUGAGGACUGGAGAGGAGACUGGAAUUCAUGGUGUAGCAGUGAAAUGCGUAGAUAUCAGGAGGAACACCGAUGGCGAAGGCAGCCCCCUGGGCUAACACUGACGCUCAUGCACGAAAGCGUGGGGAGCAAACAGG